rnacentral:rRNA from 1 species
CCCUUAGAUGUCCUGGGCCGCACGCGCGCUACAAUGACUUGCUCAGAAAGUUUUUCCUGGCUCGGAAGGGUUCAGGGUAAUCUUUGUAAUACAAGUCGUGUUGGGGAUCGAUCUUUGCAAUUAUAGAUCUUGAACGAGGAAUUCCUAGUAAGCGCGAGUCAUCAGCUCGUGCUGAUUACGUCCCUGCCCUUUGUACACACCGCCCGUCGCUCCUACCGAUUGAGUGCUCAGGUGAAUAAUUCGGACUGCAGCAAUGUUCGGAUCCCGAACGUUGCCGCGGAAAGUUUAGUGAACCUUAUCACUUAGAGGAAGGAGAAGUCGUAACA